CCUACGGGUGGCAGCAGUGAGGAAUAUUGGUCAAUGGGCGCAAGUCUGAACCAGCCAAGCCGCGUGCAGGAAGACGGCCCUAUGAGUUGUAAACUUCUUUUGUCCGGGGGUAAAACACGCCACGUGUGUCGUUCCGAGAGUAUCCUACGAAUAAGCAUCGGCUAACUCCGUGCCAGCAGCCGCGGUAAUACGGAGGAUUCGAGCGUUAUCCGGAUUUAUUGGGUUUAAAGGGUGCGCAGGCGGAAGAUCAAGUCAGCGGUAAAAUCCGGGGGCUCAACCUCGACGAGCCGUUGAAACUGGUGGGCUGGAGUGAACGAGAAGUAGGCGGAAUGCGUGGUGUAGCGGUGAAAUGCAUAGAGAUCACGCAGAACUCCGAUUGCGAAGGCAGCAUACCGGAGCGCAACUGACGUUGAUGCACGAAAGUGUGGGUAUCGAACAGGAUUAGAUACCCUAGUAGUC
rnacentral:rRNA from 1 species